rnacentral:rRNA from 1 species
UACGUAGGGGGCAAGCGUUGUCCGGAAUCAUUGGGCGUAAAGCGCGUGUAGGCGGUUCGAUAAGUCUGAUGUGAAAGUCCAGGGCUCAACCCUGGGAUGCCGGUGGAUACUGUCGGACUAGAGUACGGAAGAGGAGAGUGGAAUUCCCGGUGUAGCGGUGAAAUGCGCAGAUAUCGGGAGGAACACCAAUUGCGAAGGCAGCUCGCUGGGACGUCACUGACGCUGAGACGCGAAAGCGUGGGGAGCAAACGGG